rnacentral:rRNA from 1 species
UUGCUAAUAAUUCUCUAGUGGCGCACGGGUGAGUAACACGUGAGUAACCUGCCCCCGAGAGCGGGAUAGCCCUGGGAAACUGGGAUUAAUACCGCAUAGUAUCGAAAGAUUAAAGCAGCAAUGCGCUUGGGGAUGGGCUCGCGGCCUAUUAGUUAGUUGGUGAGGUAACGGCUCACCAAGGCGAUGACGGGUAGCCGGUCUGAGAGGAUGUCCGGCCACACUGGAACUGAGACACGGUCCAGACACCUACGGGUGGCAGCAGUCGAGAAUCAUUCACAAUGGGGGAAACCCUGAUGGUGCGACGCCGCGUGGGGGAAUGAAGGUCUUCGGAUUGUAAACCCCUGUCAUGUGGGAGCAAAUUAAAAAGAUAGUACCACAAGAGGAAGAGACGGCUAACUCUGUGCCAGCAGCCGCGGUAAUACAGAGGUCUCAAGCGUUGUUCGGAAUCACUGGGCGUAAAGCGUGCGUAGGCUGUUUCGUAAGUCGUGUGUGAAAGGCGCGGGCUCAACCCGCGGACGGCACAUGAUACUGCGAGACUAGAGUAAUGGAGGGGGAACCGGAAUUCUCGGUGUAGCAGUGAAAUGCGUAGAUAUCGAGAGGAACACUCGUGGCGAAGGCGGGUUCCUGGACAUUAACUGACGCUGAGGCACGAAGGCCAGGGGAGCGAAAGGGAUUAGAUACCCCUGUAGUCCUGGCAGUAAACGGUGCACGCUUGGUGUGCGGGGAAUCGACCCCCUGCGUGCCGGAGCUAACGCGUUAAGCGUGCCGCCUGGGGAGUACGGUCGCAAGAUUAAAACUCAAAGAAAUUGACGGGGACCCGCACAAGCGGUGGAGUAUGUGGCUUAAUUCGAUGCAACGCGAAGAACCUUACCUGGGCUUGACAUGUAAUGAACAACAUGUGAAAGCAUGCGACUCUUCGGAGGCGUUACACAGGUGCUGCAUGGCCGUCGUCAGCUCGUGUCGUGAGAUGUUUGGUUAAGUCCAGCAACGAGCGCAACCCCUGUUGCCAGUUACCAGCACGUGAAGGUGGGGACUCUGGCGAGACUGCCCAGAUCAACUGGGAGGAAGGUGGGGACGACGUCAGGUCAGUAUGGCCCUUAUGCCCAGGGCUGCACACGUACUACAAUGCCCAGUACAGAGGGGGCCGAAGCCGCGAGGCGGAGGAAAUCCUAAAAACUGGGCCCAGUUCGGACUGUAGGCUGCAACCCGCCUACACGAAGCCGGAAUCGCUAGUAAUGGCGCAUCAGCUACGGCGCCGUGAAUACGUUCCCGGGUCUUGUACACACCGCCCGUCACAUCAUGGAAGCCGGUCGCACCCGAAGUAUCUGAAGCCAACCGCAAGGAGGCAGGGUCCUAAGGUGAGACUGGUAACUGGGAUGAAGUCG